rnacentral:rRNA from 1 species
UAUCCCAACUAAGGGCGGGAAAGACUCCACGGAGGGUGUAAGACCCGUGUGGGCGCGUGUCAAAGCUGUGCGGGCUCGGCCUCUUUUCCCUGAGAGUCGCGUUGCUUGAGCAUGCAGCGCUAAGCAGGUCGUAAACUCGAUCUAAGGCUAAAUAUGUCCACAGAACCGAUAGCGAACAAGUACCGUGAGGGAAAGUUGAAAAGCACUCUGGAGAGAGAGUCAAAAGACCGUGAAACCGCUCAGAGUAUAAGCCCAUGGCAGCUUGGAAGGCAUAUCGCUAGCGGGGCAUCGGUCUUCCUUCUCGGAGGGAGCUGGUGUUACCUUGCUACUGUUGUGGCUCGUCAAGGUAGGGGGGUCAAGUCCACAUCCCGCCGUCGUGUGGGAGGUUCUUGGGCGCGUUGUGGUCUUUCGGUUGACUUCGGUCGGUCGUUGGGUUCUUCGUGCUUGGUUCCUUCUUUUUGCACGGACGUUCAGACUCAGAAGCAAGACGCGAUAACCAGCCCACCACGGCACGUUGUGAGGUCACCCACAGACUUAGCUUUCGAUUGUGAUCCUUGACGCCGAGCAAGCAGCCCAAUGCGUGUCGCUAAGUUCCUAACCAGGCUUUUUCCAAGAAGCCAGGAGUGUGGAACGACACGCGCUCAACAGUCAGGAUCGGGCGGAUACAAAGUACUGGUACGAUCCUCUUGCGACGAGCCGGCUUCUGGCCAAAAUUCCAGCGGGCAGGCCUUCCGCAUGUGCCGCGGGAGGUCGAGUCUAGACGGUAUGGACAAUGCAAGUCCUCCUCAGUCGAACGCUGGAAAGAGUGGUGUAAAGUCCAAGCCCAUCGGUCACGUCUCGAAACACGGGCCAAGGAGUAUAGCAUGUGUGCAAGUCUAAGGGUCUCACAAAAUCCGAAGGCAAAGUGAAAGCAAGUAAGCGGCGGGUGAUCUACGG